CAGUAGCAGUUUAGCAAUGCGAUUUUAUAAUAACAACCCUGCCAAUUGACAACACAAAAUCGGUCGCACUGCAUAUGCGUCAUUUUUGACCUAGCGCCUUGACGUGACAUCCGAGCAGAGCAGAGCAGGGCAGUGUACAGGGAAGCAUAAAGUGCCUUAGACCGAAUGAGUGUCCCCAACUACACAGAGGAAAGUAUGAGCAGAGGAUGGAGCAGUUCCUCUGGACGUACACAGGAGGAAAGUGUCCUUCAACUGGAAAGACAUGGUCAUGUUCCUUGAGGGAGAGGACUGCUAGCAUUGAAAGUACGCUAUGCAGUAAAGGAAGGCUAACCUAUAUCAUAGCCUUUUAUGUGUAAAUAGGUUAUGUAAAGAAACACUGACAAUGGUUACUGACUGACUGUUAGACUUAUUCUUAGAGGAGUAUCUACCAUGGUGGAUAAAUGAAGAUAUCACAUAAAGGCUGUUUACCAUUAAAAAAAGGUUGGUCACAGUUCCGGUCUACUUAAGGAGUGGCUUUCCCAUACGCACCAAUGCAAUAGCAGCCGGGUCUGGUCUAGUUAGUUCAUUGACUGUAUAUGAACCAGAAAAAUAUCUCGCUUCCUCUUCAGUCACAGGUAUCUACCACAAAUCACGUGACAAUAUUUUUGCCCACAAUUCCAGAACAACACGUGCUCCGGACGUUAAAGAACGAGCGUGUCUUUGCUUGGCAGCCCGGCGAAGACCUGUCCACGGAGUAGAUGUGUGAGGUCACGUUCAGAAGCUGUAAACAGAUGUUACGGUACGACUUCCUGACACGCGAUGACAUCAUGGGGAAGCCGUGGAGGACAGUGGUGCUGAAUGACUGGGCAUGUGUGACUGGCCCCUGGGUGCCAAGUAUUUGAAUCCUUAACAAAUGGGUCAGAGACCCCAAGACCGCUGGUGAUGCCAGGAGUGAUGGUAGGAGAUAUGGGGGAAAAACUGUGUCAGAACGGACUGGACAAUGAAUAGGUUUGCAGUGUUUCACAAUGGCCAAGUCCCUCUGGAAAUAUGCUCAAUAAGAUCACUGAUGUCACCCUGAGGGAUACUCCGUCAUACCUUUUUAAGUGCUGUUGGCAGUGUAUAAAUGGCUGGUGCGUUUCCUUACGAGAGAGAGUCAGAGGAAGCUGGCCCAGGAGAGAAGGCUUCUGGCAAGGCUGACUUCGAGGCUCGCAGAUGUGUAAGAAGCUGUGGUCUACGGUGAUGGAGGGGAACAAGGUUCUAGAGCAUCCAUCCUGGUGGGCAGAGUUCACCUCAGACAAGGUGAACUCUGUGGUGGGUUUUCCUCUGACCCAAGCUGUAGGGUUCUAGAUCGCAGUUCUAGAGUCCCUGGUUCCCCGGACCCACCCAUUGAUUAAUAUAUACACUAGAUGACUGUUGAAGCCAUGGUACCUCCAUUUUGGAAGCUAUAGAAAGGAAGUCGUUGUGACGCCUCCUGGUUCGCGACGAAGCUACAGACACCUUAAUGCUUUAAAUAUAACUUUCAAAUGAUGUUAUGUGAGAUUAACAUAAA